rnacentral:rRNA from 1 species
UACAGAGGUCCCAAGCGUUGUUCGGAUUCAUUGGGCGUAAAGGGCGCGUAGGUGGCGCGGCAAGUCAGCGGUGAAAGCCCGAGGCUCAACUUCGGGUCGGCCGUUGAUACUGCUGUGCUUGAGCACUGUAGAGGCAGGUGGAAUUCCGGGUGUAGCGGUGGAAUGCGUAGAGAUCCGGAAGAACACCGGUGGCGAAGGCGGCCUGCUGGGCAGUUGCUGACACUGAGGCGCGACAGCGUGGGGAGCAAAUGGG